UUUCUGAACUCUAGCAACCUCCCUUGGGUCAUUGCUUUCUUUGUUACAUUCAUGUGUCAAAGUACACUGAAACUGAAGUAAGAUUGUCUACAGCAUUAGACUGUACCCCCACCCCCUUCUUUCAAAGUCUUCAAAUGCCAGGUCCCGCAGAUAAAUCAGCGUGGGUUGACCAAAGUUGGCAUAUUCCCAAUGAUUGCUGGAUCAUAUGGCAGUUACUAUUUUUAAUUUUUUUGAAAAAACUUUUUCCAGUAGUAGCUGAAUUAAUUUACAUUCUUACCAACAGUGUACAAGGCUUCCCCCCUGUCUUAGUCAGGGUUUCUAUUCCUGCACAAACAUCAUGACUGAGAAGCAAGCUGGGGAGGAAAGGGUUUAUUCAGCUCACACUUCCACAUUGCUGGUCAUCACCAGAGGAAGUCAGGACUGGGACUCACAUAGGGUAGGAACUUGGAGGCAGGAGUGGAUGCAGAAGCCAUGGAGGGUGCUGCUUACUGGCUUGCUUCCCCUGGCUUGUUCAGUUUGCUUUCUUAUAGAAUCCAAGACCACCAGUCCAGGGACAGCACCACCCACAAUGGGCUGGGUCCUCCCCACUUGAUCACUAAUUGAGAAAGUGCCUUACAGCUGGGUCUCAUGGAGGCAUUUCCUCUAGGGAGGCUCCUUUCUCUGUGAUAACUCCAGCUUGUAUCACACAAAACCAACCAGUACACCCUGCCACAUCCUUUCCAACCAAACCUACAUUUCAAAAUUAGUUUUAAAAUAUAAAGCUGUCCAGAAAGUGGUGGCGCACACCUUUGGCUCCAGCACUAGGGAGGCAGAGGCAGGCCGAUUUCUGUAAGUUCAAAGCCAGCCUGGGCUACAGAGACUUCCAGGACACCCAGCUGCAGCAUGACCCAAGGGCAUCCACACAGACGCCAACGACAGCACAAUUGGAGGAUCUCAACAAAGUCCCCAACAGCAGCCAAGACCACGGCUGCAGCAUGGACCAUAGACACCCUGAUGGCCUUUGUGGGCAGCACAGGCCAUGAACAUCAAUGUGGAUUCAGAUGUCUGAACAGUUCACUCACAUCAACAUAGCCCCUGGUACCAGCACAGACAUCAACAUAUCAACAUGGCUUCAGGCUUCAUAUAUAUGUAUAUAUAUAUGAUCUCUUUGAGUGUUAGGUCUGUUCAUGUACAUGCCAUUUUAAACAGGUAUUAAUUCACUAAAAUAAAGAAGAAAGCAUUUUAAAUAUUAAAGAUCUUCAACAUAUCCUUGGUAAGCCCAAAACAAUGGACUUCAUAAAACCGGCUAUUUCACUGUGAAGUGCAUUAAAUCACAAGGGCUUUAUGGGUGCGAUCGGGGUUAAGAACGUUAAAAUGGAGAGAGAAUCUGGAUGGAUUCUAGAACCCAGGAAUGUAAGUCUGUUUAGUAGAGAGCAUGAGAGGGGCUUAGAUCAAGACUGAAUUGAGUCUACAGACAAGUUAGGAGGACACUGACCCCUUAAUAUCCAUGUGUGAUGGUUUGCAUAUGCUUGGCCCAGGGAGCGGCACUGUUAGAAGAUUUCCAAGGGCUUCUUUUGUUGCUGCUUCUGGGAACUGAGAUCGCACGGGACUGAAGACCUUAUAGUGUACGUUAUCCGGAAAUGGUGCGAGUUUCCACAGCCCUCCUCAGCCCCGGUGUGGCAGCUUUCUGUGUCAGGCUCCACACAUACCCACAAAGCGGUGCAUUCCUUGUUCAGAGAUUCAAGUACCAGAACAUGAGUAUUAAAUAAUUUUCCAUAAAAAAA